rnacentral:rRNA from 1 species
GAUCAUGGCUCAGAUUGAACGCUGGCGGCAGGCCUAACACAUGCAAGUCGAACGGUAACAGGAAGCAAGCUUGCUGCUUCGCUGACGAGUGGCGGACGGGUGAGUAAUGUCUGGGAAGCUGCCUGAUGGAGGGGGAUAACUACUGGAAACGGUAGCUAAUACCGCAUAAUUGUCGCAAGACCAAAGAGGGGGGACCUUCGGGCCGUCUUGCCAUCGGAUGUGCCCAGAUGGGA